GAUGAACGCUAGCUACAGGCUUAACACAUGCAAGUCGAGGGGCAUCAGGAAGAAAGCUUGCUUUCUUUGCUGGCGACCGGCGCACGGGUGAGUAACACGUAUCCAACCUGCCCUUUACUCGGGGAUAGCCUUUCGAAAGAAAGAUUAAUACCCGAUAGCAUAAUGAUUCCGCAUGGUUUCAUUAUUAAAGGAUUCCGGUAAAGGAUGGGGAUGCGUUCCAUUAGGUUGUUGGUGAGGUAACGGCCCACCAAGCCUUCGAUGGAUAGGGGUUCUGAGAGGAAGGUCCCCCACAUUGGAACUGAGACACGGUCCAAACUCCUACGGGAGGCAGCAGUGAGGAAUAUUGGUCAAUGGGCGUUAGCCUGAACCAGCCAAGUAGCGUGAAGGAUGAAGGCUCUAUGGGUCGUAAACUUCUUUUAUAUAAGAAUAAAGUGCAGUAUGUAUACUGUUUUGUAUGUAUUAUAUGAAUAAGGAUCGGCUAACUCCGUGCCAGCAGCCGCGGUAAUACGGAGGAUCCGAGCGUUAUCCGGAUUUAUUGGGUUUAAAGGGAGCGUAGGUGGACUGGUAAGUCAGCUGUGAAAGUUUGCGGCUCAACCGUAAAAUUGCAGUUGAUACUGUCAGUCUUGAGUACAGUAGAGGUGGGCGGAAUUCGUGGUGUAGCGGUGAAAUGCUUAGAUAUCACGAAGAACUCCGAUUGCGAAGGCAGCUCACUGGACUGCAACUGACACUGAUGCUCGAAAGUGUGGGUAUCAAACAGG
rnacentral:rRNA from 1 species